AUCUUUUGGAUAGCUCAGUUGGUUAGAGCAUGGUGCUGAUAAUGCCAAGGUCACAGGUUCAAUCCCUGGUAUGGGACA